AUGAACGCUAGCGGCAGGCUUAAUACAUGCAAGUUGAGGGGCAGCAUGAUAUACGCGAGUAUAUUGAUGGCGACCGGCGGACGGGUGAGUAAUAGGUAGGAGACCUACCUCAUACGAGGGGGAUAGCAUAGAGAAAUCUGUGGUAAUACCCCAUGAGGUUAUAUGAAUAGAGGCAUAUAAUCAAAGCAUAAGCGAUUAUGCGGUAUGAGAGGGGCCUACUGACCAUUAGCUAGUUGGUGAGGUAAGGGCUCACCAAGGCGAAGAUGGUUAGGGGUUUUGAGAGAGAGACCCCCCACAUUGGAACUGAGAGACGGUCCAGACUCCGUACGGGAGGCAGCAGUAGGGAAUAUUGGGCAAUGGGCGAAAGCCUGACCCAGCCAUGCCGCGUGAAGGAAGACGGCCUUAUGGGUUGUAAACUUCUUUACUACGCGAAUAGAGGUUAGUACGAGAUACUAAUAGGAAGGUAGUGUAGUAAAAAGCACCGGCUAACUCCGUG
rnacentral:rRNA from 1 species